AGCAUUAAAAAAAAAAAAAAAAGUAAAACCAAAUGUAAGUUGCGUAGCCAGCAAAACCAGUAGCUCCACUAAAAGCGGCAAUGAGCCCAUAUUUAAAAAAAAUCUCCAGCCUUUCCUCUCCGAACUCGCAAUGGCAGCCUCAUCCGGAGACUCUGCCGCAACAGCCAUGGCCUCCGCGGACUGAUCGGCGAUUAUACAUUGAGAAGAGAUGAUGGAUUCUUUGUCAAAGUCUUAGCUAAAAGAUCGCCCAUUAGAUUUCUUAUUUCUCGAUACUAUCGAUGGAACGCGAUAUCAAAGUAAAAUUGAAGCCAUUGUUAGGGCUUUUCAAUGUUUUGGGAUUUAGGGGUUAAAUAGGGUUUUUUGCGGGCGCGGCCUUUCGAGAUCGAGAGAGAGAGAAGGGGGAGGGGCAGGAAAAUUAAGGAUGUUUGGUCAACUCGGAGAUCAACCGGAGAUCAAGUUAUAACGGGUUUGGAAGUCGGUUUAUCUAUAAAACUGAUGCGGAUUAGAAAUUCCCCUGUUUGGUUAGCGUUUGCUG
rnacentral:misc_RNA from 1 species